AGGAGGAGGAGGAGGACAAUGCAGGAGUCCCUCCUCCUCUGUCUGGGCCGACAACGUCCGCCUCGGCCCGUCUGGAGACAAACUGGUUCUGUGGACACGGGAGUUGGACCGUUCCAUCCUGAUGAGCUGUCAGAGGAUGGGAGCCAAUCAGAACACGUUCUGCCUCCUCGCCGCCCGCCUGGGGAACAAAACGUCCAAUCAGGUCUGUGAUCGUUUCCACCAGUUGAUGAAACUCUUCCAGUCCGCGAAACAGAAAUCCUGCUCCCCGGCCCAUCGGCCAAUCAGAUGCCAGGAAGCACCCCAUCGGCCAAUCAGAGACCAGGAAGCAGCCCCUGACUGAAAACUGGCCAAUCACGCUCAAGCUUUUUGCUCGACCUAAGACUCAUCGACGGACGUCCGAUUCCUGGAUGUACCACUAUAGCCUACUGGUUAUACUGGGAGCUGCCCUUACCACUAUAGUCUACUGGUACAACUGGGAGCCAACCAGCACCGCUAUAGUCUACUGGUUAUACUGGGAGCUGCCCAGUCCUACUAUAGUUUACUGGUUAUACUGGUAGCUGCACUGCUAUAGUCUACUGGUUAUACUGGGAGCUGCACUACUAUACUACUCAAAGCCACCCUCCAUUUAUACUCCUCCAGCAGGACGUGUGUCACUUCCUGCCCUAUGUCACUUCCUGUUGGGCCAUCAACCAAUGACUGACCAGAAUGAGUUGAGUUGUUUCUUUGGAAUGGUUUUGGAAUAAACAUGAGAUUGAAUGUGUGUGUGACGUCAGUCUCUUCCAGAAUUUGUGUUAAUCUCAGUGUGGUACACUUUAAAUUUUGCCAUUUUCAUUAGCCUUUAUAAUUAGCUUAUAUAGUUAUAGGAAUGCAUAAUGAGGAAUAAAGCCGUUGAGCUCAUCUAUUAAACCUGUAUUACCCUUUAUAAUUAUCUUA